rnacentral:rRNA from 2 species
CGGUGGAGCAUGUGGUUUAAUUCGACGCAACGCGAAGAACCUUACCAGGGCUUGACAUCCCCUGACCGCGUAUGAAAGUACGUUUUCACCCUCGGGUGACAGGGAGACAGGUGGUGCAUGGUUGUCGUCAGCUCGUGUCGUGAGAUGUUGGGUUAAGUCCCGCAACGAGCGCAACCCCUACGUUUAGUUGCUAACGCGUGAAGGCGAGCACUCUAGACGAACUGCCGUUGACAAAACGGAGGAAGGUGGGAUGACGUCAAAUCAUCAUGCCCCUUAUGUUCUGGGCUACACACGUGCUACAAUGGCCGGUACAGACGGACGCAAAGCCGCGAGGUGGAGCAAAUCCUAAAAAGCCGGUCUCAGUUCGGAUUGCAGGCUGCAAUUCGCCUGCAUGAAGUCGGAAUCGCUAGUAAUCGCAGGUCAGCAUACUGCGGUGAAUACGUUCCCGGGCCUU